CAUGUAGGCGGUCUGUCAAGUAUGAUGUGAAAGCCCGGGGCUCAACCCCGGAAGUGCAUUGGAAACUGGCAGACUUGAGUACGGGAGAGGAAAGUGGAAUUUCGAGUGUAGGGGUGAAAUCCGUAGAUAUUCGAAGGAAUACCAGUGGCGAAGGCGGCUUUCUGGACCGAUACUGACGCUGAGAUGCGAAAGCGUGGGGAGCAAACAGGAUUAGACACCCUGGUAGUCC
rnacentral:rRNA from 1 species